rnacentral:rRNA from 1 species
GACGAAGGAUGCAAGCGUUAUCCGGAUUCAUUGGGUUUAAAGGGAGCGUAGGCGGCCUUGUAAGUCAGUGGUGAAAUCUCUGGGCUUAACCCAGAAAUUGCCAUUGAUACUGCAGGGCUUGAGUACAGUUGCCGUUGGCGGAAUAUGACAUGUAGUGGUGAAAUACAUAGAGAUGUCAUAGAACACCGAUUGCGAAGGCAGCUAACGAAACUGUAACUGACGCUGAGGCUCGAAAGUGUGAGGAUCAAACAGG